UUGCGAGAUAUAAUAUAAUAUUGGAUGGCAAGUUAAAUCCCCGAAUCUGCAGCGUUGUGGAAAAACCGUGUUAACGUUGAUGAACCAAAACCGCGGCGAGUUCGGAAGCAUGGCGACGGAGCAAGCACUGGACCUCUCUCUCCCAUCAUGCCGGUAUCUCCUCUCUGCUAUUCUAGCUAUGGAACCUUCCGACUGCUUAUUAUCACAUGCCAGGGCGUGUGGCGGAGGCUCAAUUACUGAGCAAGCUCAACAAUUUAUCUUGGACCAUUGUCUUUCCACACCUGGUGAUUUUCAUGCACCCUACUUGAAGAAUUUUCUAAAGAAGCUUAUCACUCAAGUUGAGUGUGAUCAUGACUCUGUCUUGGACCAAUUUUAUGAACUCUAUGCUCACUACAUUACAUCAUUUAAGGAUGAUAGUUUUGGCAAAAGAGAUUCAAGAAUCUGCAAAAGAAUUUCUUUUCUUUUUCCUGAUGAUUAUUCUGAACUACAAACUUGUCCGCACUCAAGGGUGUUGACUUUUCCAUUGAAGUGUUCUACAAACAUGCUUGAAGGAGAUACUGGAUGCUCAAUAUGGCCAUCAAGUCUGUUUCUCUCCGAGUUAAUACUUUCCCAUCCGGAAUUAUUUUCUAAUAAAUCCUGCUUUGAGAUUGGCGCAGGAGUUGGCUUAGUUGGAUUAUGCCUAGCCCAUGUGAAAGCUUCUGAGGUGAUACUAACUGAUGGUGACCUUUCAACUUUAGCAAACAUGAAGCUUAAUUUAGAAUUGAACAACCUGAAUGUUGAAACCGACGCACUACAAAGAAACGAAGAUACAAGCACGGUAAAAUGCUUGUAUCUGCCAUGGGAAACUGCAUCAGAAAGUCAACUACAAGAUAUCAUGCCAAAUGUUGUGUUGGGUGCAGAUGUGAUAUAUGAUCCAGUUUGCUUGCCGCAUCUUGUUCGUGUACUCACGAUUCUUUUGAACCAGACGAACCCGAACAGUGAACGUGAACAUGAAAAUGGUGAACAUUAUUAUAACGGUGUGACUGAUAGAUCUGAUGGUAGAUACAAACCAGUUAAUUAUGAUGGUUAUAACGGCCAGCCAAAGGAAGCACCGGUGGCUUAUAUCGCAUUUGUUAUUCGGAAUAUUGAAACCUUCAACUAUUUUCUUUCUCUUGGGGACCAAGCUAACCUUGAUAUUGUGGACCUAACAGAUUCAUUGAAGCCGAUGAAUCUCCUUCCUUACAUGCAGUCAUACAAUCAAGCCGAUAUAAAACUACUGCGUAUCAUUUGUCGUCGUACAAACCAGACAAUAGUAACAUGAUCACAUGGAAGGAAGGACCUGGGACAUGGGAACUUUGACAACACUUUUGCUACUGAUAAAGACCUGUCUUGGAAUCUUGAAAUGCAAUGUUCCCAAGAAAAGAAACAAGAAGAUAAAGACAAAAGUGGUGUUAGAGAGUUGGAAUCUUCCAAAAGACAAUCCUGAACCUGGAGAAUCAUCAACAACCACUCAAUUAUUUCCUAGCAGAACAACUGGUCAACAACACUAGUCACUCUCUCUAAAUUGAAAUAUAGAGGCAGGGAUGACAUUAUUGCUGGCAGAGCUACCGAUAGAGCGGGAGACCAAGUUAGGGUUGCUGAGGUUGAGUCUUCCUAGAUACGUGUUAGACGAGUGGUUCCAACCGAUUCACACCGGAAACAGUUGAGCAUGGUGGGUUCCGUGCACCUCGUAGCACUCUAUGCCGUCAGGUACAAUCAGAUGAGCAUCCCAAAGAUGAGGUGGCGGAGGAGGUGUGAGACGAGGUUGUUGCUGGAGAUGUUGUUAGAGAGGUUGCUGAGGAGGUUGGUGGAGAUGUUGGUGGGGAGGCUGUUGGAGAGGUUGCUGGAGCUGGAGAUGUUGGUGAAGAGGGUGUUGGAGAGGUUGUUGGGGUGGUUGUUGAGCAGGUUCAGCCAAAUGUUGUUGUUGCUGAUCCGAUCCCAUAUAUUACUGUUGACACAAAUGUUACAGCUCAUUCGAUUGAGCCCUCUGUGCACAUUGACGGAGGAUUCCCUAGAGGAGCCGUUAAACGGUCGGUGCUUACUGAGUAUGCAAACCAUGUGGCGUUACAACUAUGGCAGGACCGUCCCACACUGAAGGUGACUUCACACGGUUCGAAGCUGAAAGACUUCCUGAAGAUUCCGUUCUCAGUAGAUCAUCCAGAUUGUACGGGAUUUCGAGGUACUUGAUUUUACCCACUGCUCUCUCACCAUGCUUGACGCACCACUACUUACUGCGUUUGUUGAGAGAUUGCACAAGGAGACAUCUUCAUUUCAUCUUCCGUUUGGGGAGAUGACUAUCACUCUGGAUGAUGUCUCAUCUUUGUUCCAUCUUCCCAUCAGCGGCAUAUUAUGGGCAACUCCUGUUCUUAUCACACCGCUUGCAUGUAUGACUGUUGCACGAGAUUUGAGGUUUUUUGAGGAGGAUGCACAAGUGUUUAUAUCGAUGCCUGACACGUGUGCCUAUUCAGUAGCCUCGAUGUUGCCUGUUGGGCUUGGGAUUGCGCUGCAUUGACCAUCUUGCAUAUAACACUUGGAGUGACAACAAUAUUUGAGACCAGGGAACUUGCUGGUUAUUUGAGUCUGUUACAAUGUUGGAUAUAUGAGCAUUUUCCCCACCAUCUGUGACAUGAGGGUGCAACAUUCCCUAGUGGGGGACCCACAGCGAGGAGAUGGAAGGGGAGGCAGUCACAUCCGAGUUGUGUUGUUGAGUAUCAGAGGAGGCUCAAUGUGUUGACUGUAAAGGAUAUCAUAUGGACACCAUACAUUGAUCAUAGAGUCCACCGUGAGUUCGAGGAGUCUUCAUUAUAUUCAGGUUAUAUGCGGUGGGAGACCAUGGUUGCUACACACUUGCCUGAGAGGUGUCUGCAACAAUAUGGUUAUGUUCAGAGUAUCCCACAGUCAGUUCCAGAUAUACUAUCUACAAACAUUAAUUGGUGGUUUCAGAGUAACUUUAUCAGCUUCGGUCGUGCUAUUAGAGAUCGAGCAGUUAAGGUUCAACACCCUCGCAAUGUGAGGAUGAUUACUUAGAGUGGUACCUCACUGUAUCACACCCUCUCAUCAUUGCAUCUAUUGAGGAUCCGGGUGAUGUCGGGCCUUUUGAUGAUGGGGUACCUGUUGAUGACAUGCCGCCGCCGCCUUCUACAAUUGGUGUCGAUGACUAGCAACGCCUCCAGAUGAUUGCAAUUAUUAUGGAUAACCUCAUGGGUUUGGUGAACAAAGAUAUCGAGGUUUAUAUUAGAUUAGCUCGGGCUA